GAUGAACGCUGGCGGCGUGCCUAAUACAUGCCAGUCGAGCGAACAGACGAGGAGCUUGCUCCUCUGACGUUAGCGGCGGACGGGUGAGUAACACGUGGAUAACCUACCUAUCAGACUGGGAUAACUUCGGGAAACCGGCGCUAAUACCGGAUAAUAUAUUGCACCGCAUGGUUCAAUGGUGAAAGACGGUUUUUCGGUGGGUUAUGGAUGGUUCCGGGCCGCAUUAUCUAGUUGGUAGGGUAGCGGCUUACCAAGGCAAGGAAGGGUAGCCGGCAUGAGAGGGUGACAGGCAACAUGGGGACUGAGAUACGGCCCAGACUCAGACGGGAGGCAGCAGUGGGGAAUAUUGAAAAAUGGGCGGAAGCAUGAUGCAGCAACGCAGCGUGAGGGAUGACGGCCUUAGGGUUGUAAACCGCUUUCGCCUGUGAAGAAGCGUGAGUGACGGUAAUGGGUAAAGAAGCACCGGCUAACUACGUG
rnacentral:rRNA from 1 species